UGUUGCUAUAAAAGUUUUAAUUAAGGCUACAGAGUUGCUAUUUCUAAAAUUUUUCCAAUUAAACCAGCCCAGCUGAAUCAGUCCCCCCAACAGGCCCAAUACACCAGACGCGGCCCAUCAAACUGACCCUGCCGGUCCAGCCCAACCCUCACCCUUAUUUCUUCUCAUCAACAGUAACAAUGACAACAGCCCAAACAGCCCAGCCGCCCCAUUGACACGACCCGACCCAAUCCUCCAAAUCCCCUUAACCCCUUAACAGCAUACAACAACAAUUAUCAACAGCAACAGACGACAGCAACAACCCAACUCUCAACGACAACUGCUGCAGCUCAGAGAUAACGUCCCAUUUCAUCCAAUUCCAGAGAGAAAGGGGAGGAAUUUUGGGGGGGGAGGAAUUCGAGGAUUCGGGAAGUGCGUGCUUCUAAUCUUAUGUAACCAAAAAUUCUCGAAGAAACGGAUUCAAGAGCUUGAUUCCGGCGAAAAUUAAACUCCGAAUUUAGUGUUGGAAGCUUCAUCGUAAAGUCUCGUAAUCCCAGUUCGCUGCUCGAAAAAAGGUGAAUACCCCUUCUCUUUACAUUGUCUUUGGUUUUGUGUUUGGAUGUCACAGUAUGGAAUUCUAUUGAUGGUUUGAAUAUUUGUUGUUGUCGGAUAAUAGUUUCGGAUAAUGAAGAUUGUGUAAAGGUUUCGCCAUUAGAAUCUGUUCUUCUAUAAAUUGUGGUGGUUUUGUAUGAAAUUAUAUCGUUGAGUGAAGUUUUGGAGUUGAAAAGUAAACUGUGUUUUCUGCUCCCUCUUUCGUAUCGUUUGGCAUUAGUGUCUCGAUAACAUUGCGCAAGAAUAAUCAUUUAAACGAUACGGGAUCUGUCCUGUCCAUAAAUUUCCUCUUUGUGGAUGACUGGUUGUCAUCGCAGUCACUCUUUGACAAAAACACAAUUGAAAAUUCAAUCGUUUUUUCUCAAGUUUUUGAUUUUUCCCAACUGGGUUUGUUUCAGUUAGUUCAAUUUUUGCAUUACUUUUGGUAGAUUUUACCUUUUGUGUGAAAAGUUAGCAACUUUAGCUUAUUUUAGGUGAAAUAAUAUUGGUAAAUAUAUAAUUGUUUGGGUGGAUAAGUUAUUUUUUUGGUUUAUCGGAGAAGUGUUGUUACUCCCUCCGUUUCGAAAUAAGUGAAUUGUUGAGGAUAAUUGUUGGUGUUUCAAAAUAAGUUAAUUGUUGAAUUUUUUUCCAAAUUUGCAUUUAUAAUUUAACAACUAAUUAACUUUUGAAAAGAUAUUACAAGAUUAACUUUUUCUUUUUUGAAUAAAAAUAAAAAGUUGUGUUAAAUUUAUGUCUUUAAUAUUUUUUUCUUAAUAUGUAUGUCAAAAUUUAACAAUUCAUUUAUUAUGAAACCGUGGGAAUAUUAGAUAAGAAAUAGAGAAUUCUGAUAGCCAAAAGAUUAGUAAUAUAUGUACACUUGCUCAUGUGGAUUAUGGGAAGACAACACGUCAUUGUCUCUGUUUGCUAUUUCUUUCUCAUUAAAGUGAUUAAUCAAAAUUUGAUGGUCACGUAUUUAUCUUUCUCUUAAUUUAUGGCAUUAGUAAAUCUGUAGUAAGAUUGUGAUAUAUUAUUUGAGUUGCUACUUUGUUGGUUUCGAAAAUUUAUUUGUGAAAAUUAUUGACUUACCCUAAUUGGAUGUCAUCAUUAGUUGUACAUUUUCACCGGGGCUUGUAUUAAUUCUUUAUCUUCUCUUGUUGUAUGUGAUAUGAACCGACUUGAGUCUCAAUGGACUCCAUCGCCCUUGCAUUUUCUCGGGACCAAAACCAUCCUUAAUCGAGUCAAAAAUCUCCAUCAAAAUCUGCCUAGGGGCUGGUAUACACAUUUGUAUGCAGUAGAUAUACACUGUAAAACAGCAGCUGCACAUCAUCACGCGAUUUAUGAUGAAAAGUGGAGGGGAAAUAAGCAGUUUUCGAAACUGAUAUACACUAUAUAUGCAACAAUAUACAAGAAAACGCAGAUAUUGAGGCUCUAAAUAUACAGCUGGUAUACACUUUAGGAAAUGGACCCAAGUCCAUAAGAAUGAGGUCCAAAAGCUGAACAGUUAGCUAAUGGGCCAAUAAAGGCCCAAAUCUUAAACGUUUGUUCCCUUUUUCCUUUUAUGUUAUUGUUGUUUAUUUACGUAAACUAAGUAAUUUCCUAAAUUGUCUUCAUUCUA